AGCGAACGCUGGCGGCAGGCCUAACACAUGCAAGUCGAACGAACCCUUCGGGGUUAGUGGCGGACGGGUGAGUAACACGUGGGAACGUGCCUUUAGGUUCGGAAUAACUCAGGGAAACUUGUGCUAAUACCGAAUGUGCCCUUCGGGGGAAAGAUUUAUCGCCUUUAGAGCGGCCCGCGUCGGAUUAGCUGGUUGGUGAGGUAAUGGCUCACCAAGGCUACGAUCAGUAGCUGGUCCGAGAGGAUGACCAGCCACAUUGGGACUGAGACACGGCCCAAACUCCUACGGGAGGCAGCAGUGGGGAAUCUUGCGCAAUGGGCGAAAGCCUGAGGCAGCCAGGCCGCGUGAAUGAUGAAGGUCUUAGGAUUGUAAAAUCCUUUCACCGGUGAAGAUAAUGACUGUAGCCGGAGAAGAAGCCCCGGCUAACUUCGUGCCAGCCGCCGCCGUAAAAC
rnacentral:rRNA from 1 species